GAUGGUACAGCUUAGCAGUGGAGUGCAUGCUUAGCAUGCAUGAGGUCCUGGGUUCAAUCCCCAGCACCUCCG
rnacentral:tRNA from 1 species